rnacentral:rRNA from 1 species
UACAGGGGGGUGCAAACGUUGCUCGGAAUCAUUGGGCGUAAAGCGCACGUAGGCGGUCUGUUAUGUCGGAUGUGAAAGCCCUUGGCUUAACUGAGGAAGUGCAUCCGAAACUGGCAGGCUAGAGUACUAAAGAGGGUCGCGGAAUUCCCGGUGUAGAGGUGAAAUUCGUAGAUAUCGGGAGGAACACCGGUGGCGAAGGCGGCGACCUGGGUAGAUACUGACGCUGAGGUGCGAAAGCCAGGGGAGCGAACGGG